ACCAGGCAUUGGCCGCCGCGUUUCAAUCUGUAGAAACGUGGUUUCGUGUAUGAUGUCGCAGGAGAAAAUUAUCAAGACAAAGGUAACUUAUACAUGAUUAAUAGAAAUGCAACGAAAAUUAAUAUAAAAUUAAUGAAUUAAUUACCACACUUAUGAUGUCGCAGUAGAAAAUUAUCACGACAAAGGUAACUUAUACAUGAUUAAUAACAAACGCAACGAAAAUUAAUAUAAAAUUAAUGAAUUAAUUACCACACUUAUGAUGUCGCAGUAGAAAAUUAUCACGACAAAGGAGAAAAUUAUCACGACAAAGGUAACUUAUACAUGAUUAAUACAAAUGCAACGAAAAUUAAUAUAAAAUUAAUGAAUUAAUUACCACACUUAUGAUGUCGCAGGAGAAAAUUAUCACGACAAAGGUAACUUAUACAUGAUUAAUACAAAUGCAACGAAAAUUAAUAUAAAAUUAAUGAAUUAAUUACCACACUUAUGAUGUCGCAGGAGAAAAUUAUCACGACAAAGGUAACUUAUACAUGAUUAAUA